AGAACGAACGCUGGCGGCAGGCUUAACACAUGCAAGUCGAGCGCACUCUUCGGAGUGAGCGGCGGACGGGUUAGUAACGCGUGGGAACGUGCCCUUCUCUAAGGAAUAGCCACUGGAAACGGUGAGUAAUACCUUAUACGCCCUUCGGGGGAAAGAUUUAUCGGAGAAGGAUCGGCCCGCGUUAGAUUAGAUAGUUGGUGGGGUAAUGGCCUACCAAGUCUACGAUCUAUAGCUGGUUUUAGAGGAUGAUCAGCAACACUGGGACUGAGACACGGCCCAGACUCCUACGGGAGGCAGCAGUGGGGAAUCUUGGACAAUGGGCGCAAGCCUGAUCCAGCCAUGCCGCGUGAGUGAUGAAGGCCUUAGGGUCGUAAAGCUCUUUCGCCAGAGAUGAUAAUGACAGUAUCUGGUAAAGAAACCCCGGCUAACUCCGUGCCAGCAGCCGCGGUAAUACGGAGGGGGUUAGCGUUGUUCGGAAUUACUGGGCGUAAAGCGCACGUAGGCGGAUCAGAAAGUAUAGGGUGAAAUCCCAGGGCUCAACCCUGGAACUGCCUUGUAAACUCCUGGUCUUGAGUUCGAGAGAGGUGAGUGGAAUUCCGAGUGUAGAGGUGAAAUUCGUAGAUAUUCGGAGGAACACCAGUGGCGAAGGCGGCUCACUGGCUCGAUACUGACGCUGAGGUGCGAAAGUGUGGGGAGCAAACAGGAUUAGAUACCCUGGUAGUCCACACCGUAAACGAUGAAUGCCAGACGUCAGCAAGCAUGCUUGUUGGUGUCACACCUAACGGAUUAAGCAUCCG
rnacentral:rRNA from 1 species